UCUCUGAACUGCGCGCCACCUUUUGAGUGCCAUCUGUUUCCGUCCAGGACUCUGAUACAACUAUCCAGUCCGCUGCAGGGACCGGUCACUGUGUCACAAUUCGUCAUCUUGCAGCUAGGAUCCAGAGCUCUCACUCCAGGAGCCCAGUCACAGCAAAAACCAAAACUGUACUUUUUUUUUUGGAGACAGGGUCUCUCAUUCUGUCACCCAGGCUGGAGUGCAACGACGUGAUCUCUGUCUCAGCCCACAGCAGCUUCAACCUCCCAGGCUCAAGUGAUCUUCCUGCCUCAGCUACGCAGUGUAUGGUAUUUUGUUACAACAACCAGA
rnacentral:lncRNA from 1 species